AUGGGGAGAAGAAGUUGGUGGCCAGGAGGGCAUGGGAGGGCACGUGAUGGCUUGGAGGCCGCGUACGACGCGUGGUUUAUUGGGUUAGAACGCAUAUGUUGCUACUCGUGGAGCACUUUCCUUUUCUGGAACGGUGAGGACCAAAUCUUUUUCUUUUCUGGCAGCCGUUCGCGAACACUAGGGAGCAGUCAGCCGCUCCCUAGAUGCGUCCAAAAAAUAUCAGGGUUUCCCCUCCUAUUGCAAAUAGGCUGGAAACGGUCCAAACUGGCCCACAACAAUGUGAAUGCCUUGCAGAACUUUGUCUGCAUACUGAGGAAGAAAUUUUAA
rnacentral:rRNA from 1 species